GGUACGACGAAACUGGUUAGUGAAAGUGGUCCAAAAAAUGGCGUUAUGUCAAAUCCCGAUCUCGACGAGAAAUUUCACGAAGGAACACGAACGCGGACUUCCAAUAACACCAAGCCACCGUCGAAGAAGUCUCUCUCUUCCCCCAACCCCCAUCAACUCGGCACUCUGCUCUUCCAAGAUCACCGCGGUCUCCCAAGGCGGCGGCAACCAUGGCGAGGGGCGCGCGGUACUCCCGGACGCUCCUCGGCCGGAGAUCCUCCUCGUUCACUCUGAUCCUGGCGGCCCUCCUGACCGCGUCGGUCGUCCUGCCGAUGCUCCUCGGCUUCGGAGUCUUCUCGCUCCCCGUCGGUUCCGACGACCGCGCUAAGCCUGACCUCCGCCCCCUUCGAUCCGUCCACGAAGCAUUUUGCAGGAAGGAUGAUAUGGGGCAGAUAGGGGAUCAGUGGACGGAGGUGCUCUCGUGGGAGCCUAGGGCGUUUAUAUACCACAAAUUUCUGUCCAAGAAAGAGUGUGACUAUCUGAUUGAGUUAGCGAAGCCUCACAUGGAGAAAUCAACAGUUGUUGAUAGUGCCACUGGUUGGAGUAAAGACCGCAGGGUGAGGACGAGUUCGAGCAUGUUUCUUAGAAGAGGAAAAGACAAAAUUAUCUGUGCAAUUGAGAAAAGGAUAGCAGAUUAUACCUUUAUACCUGUAGGUAGUAUUCAGCAUAUUAUACAAACUGAAGAACUUCAUCGUUGGGUUCUCCAUUAUGAAGUUGGUCAGAAAUACGAUCCGCACUAUGAUUCUUUCCAUGAUGAAUUCAAUACCAAGAAUGGGGGUCAACGUAUUGCUACCCUUCUCAUGUAUCUUAUAUCUGUUGCUCAGUUCUCAUGUUGAGGAAGGUGGUGAAACUGUGUUUCCCUUCUGAGAAGGUAAAUAGCAGUUCUUUACCAUGGUAUAAUGAGCUAUCAGACUGUGCAAAGCAGUUUCUUUCUGUUAAAACCAAAAGAUGGGAGAUGCAUUACUCUUCUGGAGCAUGAGGCCAGAUGCCACUCCAGAUCCAUCUAGUUUGCACGGUGGAUGUCCUGUUAUUAAAGGAAAUAAGUGGUCUUCUACAAAGUGGAUGCGCAUGCAUGAGUACAGGGCUUAGCUACCAAACUAAACAAGAAUUUUCCUGUCAUCAUGAUUCAUGAUGAGAUACGAAGCAGACCUAGAGAUGGCAACCUGAGAUACGAAGCAGCAGACCUAUCGUCAGUCUUGAUGAUAGUAGCAGUGAUGCUCGGGAUGGUUAGAGAAAAAGAGGAUGAUAUGAGGCAUAUAAAGUAACCUUAUAAAUUCUUGAUUCCGGUGGUUGGGGAUGUAAAUGUAUGACAAAGCAACUUUAGUCUCCUUUUUUUCAAACUCACAAGAAUAUAAAUGUUCACCAAAUGGGUUAUGGUUA